CGUCCCUUUGCCCAACACCCGGUCGAAAAUCACUCGCCUGCACGACUGUCGCUCGUCAUCGGUGGUCAUGAUGACGAAUAAUAUUAUACGGUAAUUAAAUCGAUAUUUGAAAGGCUAUUGAGAUCAAUGUAUUCAAGAUUUUGAUCAAAUACUGCAUGUACAAUACAAUUGUGUUUAAUAUAUUAUAUUCAUACAUAAAAAGU